AACGCUAGCUACAGGCUUAACACAUGCAAGUCGAGGGGCAGCAUGAACUUAGCUUGCUAAGUUUGAUGGCGACCGGCGCACGGGUGAGUAACACGUAUCCAACCUCCCGCUUACUCAGGAAUAGCCUUUCGAAAGAAAGAUUAAUGCCUGAUGGUAUCUUAAGCACACAUGUAAUUAAGAUUAAAGAUUUAUCGGUAAGCGAUGGGGAUGCGUUCCAUUAGGCAGUUGGCGGGGUAACGGCCCACCAAACCUACGAUGGAUAGGGGUUCUGAGAGGAAGGUCCCCCACAUUGGAACUGAGACACGGUCCAAACUCCUACGGGAGGCAGCAGUGAGGAAUAUUGGUCAAUGGGCGUAGGCCUGAACCAGCCAAGUAGCGUGAAGGAUGACUGCCCUAUGGGUUGUAAACUUCUUUUAUAAGGGAAUAAAGUGGAGUAUGUAUACUCUUUUGUAUGUACCUUAUGAAUAAGGAUCGGCUAACUCCGUGCCAGCAGCCGCGGUAAUACGGAGGAUCCGAGCGUUAUCCGGAUUUAUUGGGUUUAAAGGGAGCGUAGGCGGAUGUUUAAGUCAGUUGUGAAAGUUUAAGGCUCAACCUUGAAAUUGCAGUUGAUACUGGACGUCUUGAGUGCAUUAAAUGUGGGCGGAAUUCGUGGUGUAGCGGUGAAAUGCUUAGAUAUCACGAAGAACUCCGAUUG
rnacentral:rRNA from 1 species